rnacentral:ncRNA from 1 species
ACUUGAUGGGGUAAGGCUCCCAGUAGACGACUGGGUUGAUAGGCCAGAUAUGGAAGCCGGGUGACCGGUGGAGUUGACUGGUACUAAUAGGCCGAGGGCUUGUCCUC